AGAGUGACAUCUACAAGAAGUUCCAUGAGGCAGCUCAAGCGGCCGAGACCGAAAUGGCUAUGGCCAGAAUUGGCGUCAGACAGACAAGUGAAGGUAACUAACUAGAUUUUUGGAUACAAAACAAGAAGUCAAAAAUUAAAUAAGCUUUAGUUCAGUGUAUUUAGGGUUGGAAAAUUCUGAGUUUCGAGUAUUAGUUAAAGUCAAUUAUAUAUAUAUAU
rnacentral:misc_RNA from 1 species